rnacentral:rRNA from 1 species
GUCUACAGCCAUGCUGCCCUGAACACACCCAAUCUCGUCUGAUCUUAGAAGCUAAGCAGAGUUGGGCCUGGUUAGUACUUGGAUGGGAGAGAAACAUGUUAGCUUUCUAGC